AUGUCGGGAGGCACCGGUGGGACGGUCGCCACGAAUAGACAUGAAACCCCCUGUCAAAAUGGGUGUUGUUCCGCGGCCCGGGCGGAACAGCA
ncrna:unclassified sequences Rhodo-rpoB RNA